UUGAAACACCGUUUUCCGUACGAUCACCGAAGUUAAGCAACGUCUAGCCUGAUCAUUACUGAGAUGGGUGGGUACUUGGGAAUACCAAGU